rnacentral:pre_miRNA from 1 species
UUAGGUUUUCUUCAUUUUCUUCUAGAAUUUUUUGGGGAUUUUUGUUGUUAAAGGUUGAUGGAGAUGAUAUGAAGAUGAAAAGGAGGAGAAG